GAUUACGGCCAUACCACACUGACAAAACCCGAUCUCGUCUGAUCUCGGAAACUAAGCAGAGUUGGUCUGGGUCAGUACUUGGAUGGGUCACCGCCUGGGAAUACCCGGUGCUGUAAGCA
ensembl:rRNA 5S_rRNA 5S ribosomal RNA